rnacentral:rRNA from 1 species
UGAACGCUGGCGGUAGGCCUAACACAUGCAAGUCGAACGGCAGCACAGUAAGAGCUUGCUCUUACGGGUGGCGAGUGGCGGACGGGUGAGGAAUACAUCGGAAUCUACUUUUUCGUGGGGGAUAACGUAGGGAAACUUACGCUAAUACCGCAUACGACCUACGGGUGAAAGCAGGGGAUCUUCGGACCUUGCGCGAUUGAAUGAGCCGAUGUCGGAUUAGCUAGUUGGCGGGGUAAAGGCCCACCAAGGCGACGAUCCGUAGCUGGUCUGAGAGGAUGAUCAGCCACACUGGAACUGAGACACGGUCCAGACUCCUACGGGAGGCAGCAGUGGGGAAUAUUGGACAAUGGGCGCAAGCCUGAUCCAGCCAUACCGCGUGGGUGAAGAAGGCCUUCGGGUUGUAAAGCCCUUUUGUAGGGAAAGAAAAGCAGCAGGUUAAUACCCCGCUGUUCUGACGGUACCCAAAGAAUAAGCACCGGCUAACUUCGUG